rnacentral:misc_RNA from 1 species
AUAGAAUUAAAAUCAUGUAUUUCAAUUUAAAAUCAAAUUAAAUGGGUGGAUAAUUUUUAUAACCCAUCCUUAAACUUUAUCUUGCGUUUUACUUUCGUCACUUAACUUUAAUUUGUUACUAGAAAAAUCUUUAAAUUUUAAUUGUUUUGCAAAAAUCCCUAAAAUAUGUUAUAACAGAUAUUCCGUCAAAAAAAAUGAAAUUGCUUUUUUAUCUUUUUUACUCUUCAUACUAAAAAAACCAGUUGCUUCACUCGUAGGCCUAUCAUCAAA